rnacentral:rRNA from 1 species
GACGAACGCUGGCGGCGUGCCUAAUACAUGCAAGUCGAACGCAGUGGGGACGGGUGAGUAACACGUGGGUAACCUCCCAUCAGAGGGGAUAACACUUGGAAACAGGUGCUAAACCGAUACUGAUGGAUGGACCCGCGGUGCAUUAGCUGGUGGGAGAGGUAACGGCUCACCAAGGACACGAGGCAUCGCCGACCUGAGGUGGUGAUCGGGCAAACUGGGACUGAGAAACGGCCCAGACUCCUACGGGGAGCAGCAGGAGGGAAUCGUCGGCAAUGGACGGAAGUCUGACCGCGCAACGCCGCGUGAGUGAAGAAGGUUUUCGGAUCGUAAAGCUCUGUUGUUAGAGAAGCGGUAACUAACCAGAAAGGGACGGCUAACUACGUGCCAGCAGCCGCGGUAAUAC